UGACGUGACUUAAAAGCUUUUUUUCGGUACUUUCUCAUUCUUAACGUUAGCAACGCCUUUACAAAAUGGCGCUCGCGACGGUUAGCAGAUCCAAGAUCACGAGGAGAACAAUCCGACAAGAUUUAGGUAAUUUAAAAAAAAGAAGAAAAAGAAAAAAAAGAUUUAAUCAGCUAUGAUGACGCACUUCUGAACGACGCAUCUAAAAGAUCUCUUUUACGGACUGAGUCACGUGUUGCGUAACAGCUGUGAAAUUGGAGCGUAGCUUGUUUUUCAUUAUCCAAAAAUAUCAGAAGACUGAAGUACGGAGUAAAGGAGAAAUGGACUGAGUUUAAUUAAUCCAGUAACGACCUAGCGCUUAGAUGACAACGGAUGGAAGAACAGAUCGUCAGCAGAUGCCAGGACCAGGGAGAAUCAGGACAAGAUGGCGGGCCAGAUCCACAAGGCAGAUUAGCGUCAGAACAACUUACGCCACCAGAGGGAGCUCAGCUGGUCUAGAUCAGAGCAAGCCAAAGAUGAAUGUCCCAACAGCAGCAGAGAAAGAAAGAGGGCUCACAAGCAGAGUAUCAGGGGUCUUCGCCAUAGCAAAGUCGUGAAGAGGGCAUUUGGUUUGUAUGGGUAGAGGCGUGGUGAGUGACAGUGUUUGAAAUUCCGAUGUGUCAUCUUUCCUGU
rnacentral:lncRNA from 1 species